rnacentral:rRNA from 1 species
GUCUGAGGUCAUACCACCCUAGCCAUCCCCAGUCUCGUCUGAUCUUGGAGGGGAAGCACGGUUGAGCCUGGUUAGUAAUUGGGUGGGAGAUGAUCUGGUACAUAGCGAGGAAUGAGGAAC